rnacentral:rRNA from 1 species
GUGCCAGCAGCCGCGGUAAUACGAGAGGUGCGAGCGUUAUUCGGAAUUAUUGGGCGUAAAGGGUGCGCAGGCGGUUUAUUAAGUCAACUGUUUAAUUCCUCGGCCUAACUGAGGUUCAGCGGUAGAAACUGAUAAGCUUGAGUAUGAGAGAGAGGAGUGGAAUUCUCGGAGUAGCGGUAAAAUGCGUAGAUCUCGAGAGGAACACCGAUGGCGAAGGCAGCUCCUUGGCUCAUUACUGACGCUCAUGCACGAAAGCGUGGGGAGCAAACAGGAUUAGAUACCCUGGUAGUCCACGCUGUAAACGAUGAUCACUGGACGUCGGACUUACUUUGUAGGUUCGGUGUCGAAGCUAACGCGUUAAGUGAUCCGCCUGGGGAGUACGGUCGCAAGAUUAAAACUUAAAUGAAUUGGCGG